UAGUAAAAUGGUUUCCGGAUGAUAACUCAAGAACGCUUAGGCCUAGGAUCAUGAAACUUCAUAGGUAGAUUGAUAAUGGCUGGCAGAUGACCCCUAUUGAUUUUCAGGUCACUAAGUCAAAGGUCAAGGUCACAGUAACCCGAAAUAGUAAAAUGGUUUCCGGAUGAUAACUCAAGAACGCUUAUGCCUAGGAUCAUGAAACUUCAUAGGUACAUUGAUCAUGACUGGCAGAUGACCCCUAUUGAUUUUCAGGUCACUAGGUCAAAGGUCAAGGUCACGGUGACCCGAAAUAGUAAAAUGGUUUCCGGAUGAUAACUCAAGAACGCUUAUGCCUAGGAUCAUGAAACUUGAUAGGUAGAUUGAUCAUGACUUGCAGUUGACCCCUAUUGAUUUUUAGGUCACUAGGUCAAAGGUCAAUGUCAUGGUGACCCGAAAUAGUAAAAUUGUUUCCAGAUAAUAACUCAAGAACGCUUAUGCCUAGGAUCAUGAAACUUCAUAGGUACAUUGAUCAUGACUUGAAGAUGACCCCUAUCGAUUUUGAGGUCACUAGGUCAAAGGUCAAUUUCACGGUGACCCGAAAUAGUAAAAUGGUUUCCGAAUGAUAACUGAAGAACGCAUUUUCCUAGGAUCAUAAAACUUGAUAGGUAGAUUGAUCAUGACUCGCAUAUGACCCUUAUUGAUUUUCAGGUCACUAAGUCAAAGGUCAAGGUCACAGUAACCCGAAAUAGUAAAAUGGUUUCCGGAUGAUAACUCAAGAACGCUUAUGCCUAGGAUCAUGAAACUUCAUAGGUACAUUGAUCAUGACUGGCAGAUGACCCCAAUUGAUUUUCAGGUCACUAGGUCAAAGGUCAAGGUCACAGUGACAAAAAACAUAUUCACACAAUGGCUGUCACUACAACGGAGAGCCCAUAUGGGGGGCAUGCAUGUUUUACAAACAGCCCUUGUUUUUA